AAACUUUCAACAACGGAUCUCUUGGUUCCAGCAUCGAUGAAGAACGCAGCGAAAUGCGAUAAGUAAUGUGAAUUGCAGAAUUCAGUGAAUCAUCGAAUCUUUGAACGCACAUUGCGCCCCUCGGUAUUCCGGGGGGCAUGCCUGUUC
rnacentral:rRNA from 1 species